rnacentral:rRNA from 1 species
GACGAACGCUGGCGGCGUGCCUAAUACAUGCAAGUAGAACGCUGAAGAGAGGAGCUUGCUCUUCUUGGAUGAGUUGCGAACGGGUGAGUAACGCGUAGGUAACCUGCCUUGUAGCGGGGGAUAACUAUUGGAAACGAUAGCUAAUACCGCAUAACAAUGGAUGACACAUGUCAUUUAUUUGAAAGGGGCAAUUGCUCCACUACAAGAUGGACCUGCGUUGUAUUAGCUAGUAGGUGAGGUAACGGCUCACCUAGGCGACGAUACAUAGCCGACCUGAGAGGGUGAUCGGCCACACUGGGACUGAGACACGGCCCAGACUCCUACGGGAGGCAGCAGUAGGGAAUCUUCGGCAAUGGGGGCAACCCUGACCGAGCAACGCCGCGUGAGUGAAGAAGGUUUUCGGAUCGUAAAGCUCUGUUGUAAGUCAAGAACGAGUGUGAGAGUGGAAAGUCCACACUGUGACGGUAGCUUACCAGAAAGGGACGGCUAACUACGUG